rnacentral:tRNA from 2 species
CGGGGCGUAGCUCAGCCUGGUAGAGCGCGCGCUUUGGGGGCGCGAAGUCGCCGGUUCGAAUCCGGCCGCCCCGA